GUCUUGUCCAUCCAAGGUGGCUGCGAGCAUUAGGCAGUUAAGCGCUGCAGAUCUCUCCAGGAAAGUUACUCAGUUUAGUAUUGCCCUUUAGAGAGUGUGGAGGUGUGGCUGCUUGUUGAGGGGCUAGGCACGUGAGGUGGAAUCCCUCCCGAUGCAUGCGAGUGUACACACCGGGCAUAGGUAGAUUGCACCGUUUAGUGUGAGUGAGGUCUGCAGUGAAAUCACAUGGGUUCAAACCUUUUGCCAGGGUUGCACAGCUAGCUCCGCAUCCGCCUGUUUGUCCAUCCAGUCUGUCUGCGUUUCUGUCCAUGCAAGAUCAAAGACAUUCCCUCCAAAUGAAAUCCAGGAAAGUGAAGCUUCUGUAGGCCACAACCCGUUCUCCUCAACUCAGAAAGAUGGUCCUCGUGUUGUAGUGGUCAAAGUCCGCCAGCGCCAAUACAAAGCAUCUUUCAGUUUUGCUUUUCCAGCUGGCUGCUGAUUAAACCAAAAUACCACCAGUUCUUGAUGUCCACUGGGAUUUUCCAGCUGUAUGAAGUAUUCCCAUUGGUGAUCCAACAGAAAAUUAUUUUAUCAACCAGGUAAUUUAAAUGAAUCUUUCUUCUAAUCAUGGGAGGAUAUUCUUUAUAGAAACUGUAAUUGGACAUUUGUUUAUAUAGUACAUUUCAUUACAUGUAAACUCAAUGGGAAUUGCAUAAGAAAUCAGCUUGCCUUGAUUUUAUCAUACUCAUGUAAAGAAAGUGAAUAGGCAUUUUUUCCAAAACUGCUUUCAUUUCAUCUGCACAUGUGUACAUGUCUGUAUGUGAACAAAGAGAAUUAAAG
ensembl:lncRNA